AGUCACCAAAAAGUUUUGUUACUAGCUUUGCAGAUACAUAUUAAAUGUUAUCUACAUCAAGCUAGAAAUGCCUCCAAGAAAACCUGAUACGGUUUCUAUAUGAAAUUUAUGCAGAUACAGGCAAGUAGACUGGAUUGGAUGAUUUAGAAGCUGUUAAUUUGCCGUUUUAAUAUGCACUGCAAGUUUAGAUUUAUGUUUCUUAGGUGAUACAAGCACCUCGAUAAGCGGCUAACAUGCAGCUAACGCGACAUGACUACAAAUACUUGUUUUGAGUUGCUGAAUUAAGAUUAUUAUACUUCUACAACAUAAUCCAGAUGGAGUAAACUAAACGUCUGCAACGUCUUUUAACUCCUCUGAUUUGCUCUCUUCGGUGAACAUCAAUAAUUUAUUUUUAUUUUUUUGAAAAGGGAACAUCCAUAAUUUAGAUCUAUAUAUUUAUGGAUUUCAAUGCUGUCUCCAGGAACAAUUUACAUUAAUCAGGCAAUGUUUUUUAUAUACUUUCACUGUCCUCUGAAACUUUAAUUAUCAAUCUGUGAGGAAAGAUUCUACUUCAGCGGGCAUGACCUCGAUCCUUCUACUUUGAAAUAGCCUGGAUUGGCCCCCGUCUAUAUAUCAACUCCAGAUACAAGUAUAUCAUCUCAAUAUUGACAUACAAGGUGAAUGGUGGAACUGAAGAAUGGAUAUGAAAAAAAAAAGAGAAGAAGAAUAGUUAUGAAAAUAUCCCUAGUACAAAACCAUUACUAGGAAUAUGAUGCUUUUUUGUCAGCCAAUUUGUGAACAAUAUUAUUGAGGUCCACAAGACUGCCCUAAUUCUUAGUUGAAGAAGUUAGAUUUGCAGACAAUAGAUUACAUUGGCAUAUCAACGGGUGGUUCUUAUCCUCUCUAAUCAACAUCCAUAAGAACAUUUCUUUUAGGUGAUGUUACAGGAUACAACAAGGUAAGCUACAGUCACCAAAAAGUUUUGUUACUAGCUUUGCAGAUACAUAUUAAAUGUUAUCUACAUCAAGCUAGAAAUGCCUCCAAGAAAACCUGAUACGGUUUCUAUAUGAAAUUUAUGCAGAUACAGGCAAGUAGACUGGAUUGGAUGAUUUAGAAGCUGUUAAUUUGCCGUUUUAAUAUGCACUGCAAGUUUAGAUUUAUGUUUCUUAGGUGAUACAAGCACCUCGAUAAGCGGCUAACAUGCAGCUAACGCGACAUGACUACAAAUACUUGUUUUGAGUUGCUGAAUUAAGAUUAUUAUACUUCUACAACAUAAUCCAGAUGGAGUAAACUAAACGUCUGCAACGUCUUUUAACUCC
rnacentral:lncRNA from 1 species